rnacentral:rRNA from 1 species
AUUGAACGCUGGCGGCAGGCCUAACACAUGCAAGUCGAACGGUAACAGGAAACAGCUUGCUGUUUCGCUGACGAGUGGCGGACGGGUGAGUAAUGUCUGGGAAACUGCCUGAUGGAGGGGGAUAACUACUGGAAACGGUAGCUAAUACCGCAUAACGUCGCAAGACCAAAGAGGGGGACCCUCGGGCCUCUUGCCAUCGGAUGUGCCCAGAUGGGGUUAGCUUGUUGGUGGGGUAACGGCUCACCAAGGCGACGAUCCCUAGCUGGUCUGAGAGGAUGACCAGCCACACUGGAACUGAGACACGGUCCAGACUCCUACGGGAGGCAGCAGUGGGGAAUAUUGCACAAUGGGCGCAAGCCUGAUGCAGCCAUGCCGCGUGUAUGAAGAAGGCCUCGGUUGUAAGUAC